UUUUUUUCUUGCAUGCUGGACAUCGCGCAACUUUUUCUCUCUGACACCAGAUACUGUCCGUGGUCUUGAAACAAUAUGACUCCUCACCUAUCCACCUCAUGGCUGAUGUGUGAUGAGCCCCUUGGCGUGCAUGGCCAAGGUGUGUGCUACACAUUUGUGUUGGAUGAGAACCACAACCAGACUGAUGCUUUUGAACAGUAUCACGUUGGAGUAGGACAGUGGGACAGGACAUGGCCAUGUUCUCUAGCUGUAAAUGGCCUUAGCACAUCAUCCAGCGCAGUGCUUCUCCCUCCACAUCUGGCACAGCGUGCAUCUUCUGUCUGUGCUUCACAACUCGGCCCUGUCUAUGCCAUUAGAGCCUCUGCCCUCCUGGCUGAGUGUAUUUGCUGUGUGCGAGUGUCUGUGAGUGUGUGUGUGUGUGUCUGUUACGCCACCUGUGCCAGAGAUAGGCCAAUGGGAAAUUGUAGCAGUGUGUCACAGGGUACUUUUAGAGCCUGACAGGUCUCGCUGCAAAUGUGUGUGUGUCUGAGCUGUGUGUAAGUGUGCCCUUGUGUGGUAGAAAUGCCCCGACUCAACCAGGUGAUGGCAUCGGUGAUGGCAGGGCGAAGAAAGAAAAGAAACAAUUACCUCACUGAAAAUAUGUUACGUCUCAUCAAUAUUUCACAUCCCAGGUUGUUUUGCGUGGGGGGUUUUCAGGGGGAUGAAAAUAGUUGCUCUCUCUCUCCUCCGGCCACUUUUAACCCAGGGAAGCAGCAGGUCGGCCCGACAGGGAGAGGCUGCA